AGCAGCCGCGGUAAUUCCAGCUCCAAUAGCGUAUAUUAAAGUUGUUGCAGUUAAAGAGCUCGUAGUUGAAUUUCGGGAUCAAUACGUCGGUCGUGCUUCGGUACGUACUGGCGUCAUUGAUUUCUCCCUUCUGACGAACCAUGAUGUCAUUAACUUGGUGUCAUGGGAAAUCAGGACUGUUACUUUGAAAAAUUAGAGUGUUUAAAGCAAGCUAACGCUUGAAUACAUUAGCAUGGAAUAAUGAAAUAGGACGUUCGAUUCCUAUUUUGUUGGUUUCUAGGAUUGACGUAAUGAUUAAUAGGGAUAGUUGGGGGCAUCAGUAUUCAAUUGUCAGAGGUGAAAUUCUUGGAUUUAUUGAAGACUAACUACUGCGAAAGCAUUUGCCAAGGAUGUUUUCAUUAAUCAAGAACGAAAGUUAGGGGAUACGAGACGAUCAGAUACCGUCGUAGUCUUAACCAUAAGCUAUUCCGACGUAGGGAUCGGAUGAUAGUUAAUUUUUAAUGACUCUACG
rnacentral:rRNA from 1 species